CGCUCUCCCUGCUCGCCCGCGCCUACGCCUGUGCCUGCGCCUCCCCUCCCCGUCUUGCUCUCCACCUCACUCAGCUCAGCUCCCCAGCCUCCGUCUCCCGCUCCCACUCUGGCUCCCACCUUUGCCGGCACGUGGCCCCAGCUCGGCUGCAGGGCCUCCUGCGCUAGAUCUCGCGGGGGCGUGCUCGGUGCGGCGGCCGGCGACCCCCCGGCGCUGAGGCCCUGGCAGGGCUCGAGCACGGCACAGGAUCUCCUCCCCUGCUGUCACCGCAACAGCAGCUGGCAUUGCCGUCCUCUGCUUGAUGAUUAGCAUUGUUUGCACAAGAACAGAGAUUUGAUCCACCACCCCGACCGGCUACACCACGCCGCCCCCGCACACGUCCUCGACGCGACUGACGCCGGCUUCGGUGCGCGGGCGGUGCUUGAGCGUGAGCACAGCCACACCCAUGCCCAGUGCAACCUCUUCCUCGACGACGAUGCUAGGCCCCUCGCCAUGCUCCGCGUCCCUCCGAGCAGACGUGAGGCUGGACAUUGAUAUGCCAAAUGCUCAUGACAGCACUUUGCCACUUCAAAAAGCUUAACCCAUUAAUUUGUCAUCAGCUCUUGACUAUGCUCCUUUUUCAUGAGAUACAGGAGGGAAGAGCCCUACCAAGUUUACUCUGUAUUUCCAAUUUACUGAUCUAGAUAGUUUACUACUGCAAUAUUUUAUUUCACAUGAGCUGCUGCUCAUAUAUUGGUGGUUUCUAUGCAACCAUAGGUUUUUAUUUUUGGCAUUUGUGUUCAAUCCUAUGUUAGUCAAGCACUUGAACCUUUAAACCUUUGUUGACCAAACAUUUCUUUGGAUUUGCAUCUUAGGUGGCAGCAUUUCUUGAAGUUCUACCAAAUUGGUUGACCGCUGAUAUCUUGGAGCAACUUCGUCUGAGUAAACAAACAUUGGUAUAAAACUGAUUGCUGUAGGUACAGCUUUAUUUAUCAUUGUGACUUUUCAUCUUUAGCUGGAAAUUUAAUCUGUCAAACAAUGAAAUGUCAUUGGAAAAGCUUAUUUCCUAUGUAAACACUAAUGAUGCAGGACUACCUACAAUAUGACAAUUUUUCCAUGAUCAUCUAUAUCCAUGCAGUCUAACAACUUCAGUUUUGAAACCAAUGAUAGCUCUUUAGCAUACAGACAAUUGAUUUAAACUCGCACUCGAGAUAUAUGUUAACAUGCGCUUUUGCUAAUUAAACACAGUUGCAACCUUCUCCAUGCUUCGCACACGCUGUACAUAUUUCGCAAAGUUAUGGUGUGGGUUUUCAUCAAAUACUUAGAUAUGUUGUACUGAUUAUGUUAAUUUAGUACAUUGAAUUCUAUACUAUGCUGAUAUUCAAACUAUAUUGCAGGAAGGACACUGUACAAAGACACAUUACUUUUAUAAUAUUUUAAUGUACUUCCUGCAAUAUGAUUGCUUCAAACUACAGAAAAGACUUAGAAGUUUAUAACAUACAAACACAUACUGCGGGAUUGCUUCAUUAAUUUUUAUGCUCAGUUCAGUUCAACAUAUGCAACAUAUGUUGCAGCAUUCUAUGUAUGCCUUUAUCUACAUCAGGUUCCUAGAGGCUCAUACUUUUACACCACCUAUAACAUGAUUUUUAUUGCACAGACUUGAACUUUUAGAGUGUUUUAAAAUCAAUUACAGGACUUAUCCAUGUUUAGUAGCUCAAAUUUACAAUACCUUCUCCCUCAGCUUUGACUGAAAGGCAAGCUGGGAACAGGGUCAUGAUGCAUUUUGCUUAGGUUUCUGUAGAUUACUUAUCACAGUUUACACUCUGGUUUAAAUGCUAAUAAUAUCCCAGAUCCCAUUAACUAAAGCAGCCUUUCUGCUUGUGCUCUGUUCUUUCUUUCUUCGUGUUUUGAAUAAUUGGAAUAGUAAUUUUGAAUAUGAGUUACCAGAAGGGAUGAUAAACGCCCUAUGAUUUUAGUGCCUCCAGGUAAAAAUAAACUAUAUCAAAUAUUGAUGCAUAUAGCUCCACUCCAAAUAUGGUACUGAUUUAAUUAUAAGAAUUGGAUAUGCCCAUUUAUAUGCUAAUAUCUAGCUAUGCAGUCGGCACAUGCGGUUCUACAAGGAUUAUAAGUAUUGGAUAUGCACAUUUAUAAAAUGGCUAAAGGAUUAAGAACUUCCCAUCAUGCUCUACAAGACUGCAGGGAAUCUUAUACUGUAAGGUGUACUUCUUUUUUACUUAGGAUGCAGGUGAUUAAUCUUUGAGCAAUAACGAUUUAUAGUGAUGCUUUUGUGUUUUUGUGCUUCGUCCAUUGACCUGCAAGGUGUGUAGCAUCAUUAUCAGCUGUUGAUAUUAGUGCAGCUAGGUAGUUUGGUAGCUAUGGAUAUUGGUUGUAACAUGUAGAUUCAUGGUGCUCGGAUGUAUUGCAAUGUCGUAAUGUUUUAAAUUUCGGACAGACACCUUUGAUCGAUAGGAUAGUCAUGGUGUUCGGAUGUAAUGUAAUAUUGAUUAUGAUAUAGAUGCCGAACAGACACCUCUUGGAUGUGAUGUAAUGUUGAUGAUCAGAAUGCAAGACAGACAAUGUGCUGUAACGAUGAUGAUUUGGAUUUUCAUUUCCAAAAACUCUGUUCUUUUUUGUUCGAUUGUGUACUCAUGAUCACCUCUAAUCGAUAGGAUAGCCAUGGUGUUCGGAUGUAAUGUAAUAUUGAUUAUGAUCUAGAUGCCGAACAGACACCUCUUGGAUGUGUUGUAACAUUGAUGAUCAGAAUGCUAGACAGACAAUGUGCUGUAACGAUGAUGAUUUGGAUGUUUCAUUUCCA